AGUGAACGCUGGCGGUAGGCCUAACACAUGCAAGUCGAACGGCAGCACAGUAAGAGCUUGCUCUUACGGGUGGGGAGUGGCGGACGGGUGAGGAAUACAUCGGAAUCUACUUUUUCGUGGGGGAUAACGUAGGGAAACUUACGCUAAUACCGCAUACGACCUACGGGUGAAAGCGGGGGAUCUUCGGACCUUGCGCGAUUGAAUGAGCCGAUGUCGGAUUAGCUAGUUGGCGGGGUAAAGGCCCACCAAGGCGACGAUCCGUAGCUGGUCUGAGAGGAUGAUCAGCCACACUGGAACUGAGACACGGUCCAGACUCCUACGGGAGGCAGCAGUGGGGAAUAUUGGACAAUGGGCGCAAGCCUGAUCCAGCCAUACCGCGUGGGUGAAGAAGGCCUUCGGGUUGUAAAGCCCUUUUGUUGGGAAAGAAAAGCAGCAGGUUAAUACCCCGCUGUUCUGACGGUACCCAAAGAAUAAGCACCGGCUAACUUCGUG
rnacentral:rRNA from 1 species